rnacentral:rRNA from 1 species
GGAUUGCCCUAGUAACGGCGAGUGAAGCGGCAAAAGCUCAAAUUUGAAAUCUGGCCUCCUAUGGGGGUCCGAGUUGUAAUUUGCAGAGGGUGCUUUGGCGUUGGCAGCGGUCUAAGUUCCUUGGAACAGGACGUCACAGAGGGUGAGAAUCCCGUACGUGGUCGCUUGCCUUCGCCGUGUAAAGCUCCGUCGACGAGUCGAGUUGUUUGGGAAUGCAGCUCUAAAUGGGAGGUAAAUUUCUCCUAAAGCUAAAUACUGGCCAGAGACCGAUAGCGCACAAGUAGAGUGAUCGAAAGAUGAAAAGCACUUUGGAAAGAGAGUCAAAUAGCACGUGAAAUUGUUGAAAGGGAAGCGCUUGCAGCCAGACUUGCCCGCGGUUGUUCUCUUCCGUGGGCAGGCCAGCAUCAGUUUGGGCGAUCGGAUAAAGGCCUCUGUCACGUAUCUUUCUUCGGGAAGACCUUAUAGGGGAGGCGAAAUGCGAUCAGCCUGGACUGAGGUCCGCGCAUCUGCUAGGAUGCUGGCGUAAUGGCUGUAAGCGGCCCGUCUUGAAACACGGACCAAGGAGUCUAACAUCUAUGCGAGUGUUUGGGUGUCAAGCCCGGGCGCGUAAUGAAAGUGAACGGAGGUGGGAACCCUCUUGGGGGUGCACCAUCGACCGAUCCUGAAGUCUUCGGAUGGAUUUGAGUAAGAGCAUGGCUGUUGGGACCCGAAAGAUGGUGAACUAUGCUUGAAUAGGGUGAAGCCAGAGGAAACUCUGGUGGAGGCUCGCAGCGGUUCUGACGUGCAAAUCGAUCGUCAAAUUUGGGCAUAGGGGCGAAAGACUAGUCGGACUAUC